ensembl:lncRNA
ACAGAGACAGAAACAUAGGGCAGAAAAUUAGGUGACAGUUCAAAAAGAACGGAAAGAACGGAAAGAACCUCCACAGAGACUGAAACACGGGGCAGGAAAUUAGGUGACAGUUCAAAAACAACAAAAGGAACGGAAAGAACGGAAAGAACCUCCACAGAGACAGAAACAUAGAACAGAAAAUUAGGUGACAGUUCAAAAACAACAACAGAAAGAACGGAAAGAACGGAAAGAACCUCCACAGAGACAGAAACAUAGGGCAGAAAAUUAGGUGACAGGUCAAAAACAACAAAAAGAACGGAAAGAACGGAAAGAACGGAAAGAACGGAAAGAACGGAAAGAACGGAAAGAACGGAAAGAACCUCCACAGAGACAGAAACAUUGGGCAGAAAAUUAGGUGACAGUUCAAAAAGAACGGAAAGAACGGAAAGAACCUCCACAGAGACUGAAACACGGGGCAGGAAAUUAGGUGACAGUUCGGAAAGAACAGAAAGAACCUCCACAGAGACAGAAACAUAGGGCAGAAAAUUAGGUGACAGUUCAAAAACAACAACAGAAAGAACGGAAAGAACGGAAAGAACGGAAGAACCUCCACAGAGACAGAAACAUAGGGCAGAAAAUUAGGUGACACUUCAAAAACAACAACAGAAAGAACGGAAAGAACGGAAAGAACCUCCACAGAGACAGAAACAUAGGGCAGAAAAUUAGGUGACAGUUCAAAAACAACAAGAGAAAGAACGGAAAGAACGGAACGAACCUCCACAGAGACAGAAACAUAGGGCAGAAAAUUAGGUGACACUUCAAAAACAACAACAGAAAGAACGGAAAGAACCUCCACAGAGACAGAAACAUAGGGCAGAAAAUUAGGUGACAGUUCAAAAACAAUAACAGAAAGAACGGAAAGAAUGGAACGAACCUCCACAGAGACAGAAACAUAGGGCAUAAAAUUAGGUGACAGUUCAAAAACAACAACGGAAAGAACGGAAAGAACGGAAAGAACGGAAAGAACGGAAAGAACGGAAAGAACGGAAAGAACGGAAAGAACGGAAAGAACGGAAAGAACGGAAAGAACGGAAAGAACGGAAAGAACCUCCACAGAGACAGAAACUUAAGGCAAAAAAUUAGGUGACAGUUCAAAAACAAGAACGGAAGGAACGGAAGGAACGGAAGGAACGGA